UGUAGUUCAGGUUGUCCCAACUUUGCAAACACUGCAGACUGCGCAGCAGCUGCAACAGCAGCCACAGUCAGGUAUGCCAUCAUCUGCACAAACAGCUUAAAUGUGUUGGGAUUUGAUGGCUAUAAAUAUCUAGUUAACCAGAAAAUGUGCUUUGCUUGAUGUUUUCGAUUUCAAUAUGAUUCGGUGUUAGUUUUUCAUCAUCAUAAAGACUGUAUAGGUGUCUAAUUCAGAGUUUCUUUUCUGCACAGAACAUCCUUCUAAAGGGGGAAGCGAGCAACAAAAUAAUUGGGCUCCUUAGCUCAAGCUUAGAUUAGUCAUUCAGAGAAUUAAAAAGGGCAGUGUACAAUUGGUUUCUUCCAAUGACUAAUGCAAAAUGGAGCAGAAGACAACACUCAUGCAGAAGCCAGAAAUUCCAUAAGUAGUUCUAGUGAUCCAAUUUGAUGUUGUCUUCUGGCUUCUAGCCAGAAAACUUAAAUGCCACUUUCUAGCAUGUAUAAACAUCAAUGGCCUGGUAGACACUCCUGUGAUGAUUUUUGAGAUGCAUGCCUAUAUACCAACCGAGGAAUACUUGAGAAAGCUCCUAGAACCAAACCUACAGGUCCCUCAUCAGUACUUUAAACUAAAACCAUGUGGGCAGAAAGGUACCUUGUAGUAUUUAGUGUCAGUUAGGCCAAUCAGUCCCA
rnacentral:lncRNA from 1 species